rnacentral:rRNA from 1 species
CGGCGGGCUACCAUGCAGUCGAGCGAACCUUCGGGUUAGCGGCGGACGGGUGAGUAACGCGUGGGAACGUACCCUCUUCUGCGGGAUAGCCACUGGAAACGGUGAGUAAUACCGCAUACGCCCUUCGGGGGAAAGAUUUAUCGGAGGAGGAUCGGCCCGCGUUGGAUUAGGUAGUUGGUGGGGUAAUGGCCUACCAAGCCUACGAUCCAUAGCUGGUUUUAGAGGAUGAUCAGCCACACUGGGACUGAGACACGGCCCAGACUCCUACGGGAGGCAGCAGUGGGGAAUCUUAGACAAUGGGCGCAAGCCUGAUCUAGCCAUGCCGCGUGAGUGACGAAGGCCUUAGGGUCGUAAAGCUCUUUCGCCAGAGAUGAUAAUGACAGUAUCUGGUAAAGAAACCCCGGCUAACUCCGUGCCAGCAGCCGCGGUAAUACGGAGGGGGUUAGCGUUGUUCGGAAUUACUGGGCGUAAAGCGCACGUAGGCGGAUUGGAAAGUUGGGGGUGAAAUCCCAGGGCUCAACCCUGGAACUGCCUCCAAAACUCCCAGUCUGGAGUUCGAGAGAGGUGAGUGGAAUUCCGAGUGUAGAGGUGAAAUUCGUAGAUAUUCGGAGGAACACCAGUGGCGAAGGCGGCUCACUGGCUCGAUACUGACGCUGAGGU